AGUGGGGAAUUUUGCGCAAUGGACGAAAGUCUGACGCAGCGACGCCGCGUGUGCGAUGAAGGCCUUUGGGUCGUAAAGCACUGUCGACCGGGACGAAAACUCACGGACUAAUACUUCGUGAGUCUGACGGUACUGGUUGAAGGAAGCACCGGCUAACUCUGUGCCAGCAGCCGCGGUAAU
rnacentral:rRNA from 1 species